rnacentral:rRNA from 1 species
UACGUAGGGCGCAAGCGUUGUCCGGAAUUAUUGGGCGUAAAGAGCUCGUAGGCGGUUUGUCGCGUCUGCUGUGAAAGUCCGAGGCUCAACCUCGGAUCUGCAGUGGGUACGGGCAGACUAGAGUGUGGUAGGGGAGACUGGAAUUCCUGGUGUAGCGGUGGAAUGCGCAGAUAUCAGGAGGAACACCGAUGGCGAAGGCAGGUCACUGGGCCGCAACUGACGCUGAGGAGCGAAAGCAUGGGGAGCGAACAGG